UAUUCCUCCGUUCAUAGAACAAUUUCGCACUUCUUUCGGAAAUCAAACGUUAUGCAAAAUUUUGACAGAAACUGAAUCUGCAAAAUCCAGUGGGCUACUUCUUUCGGUCCUACAAUUUCACAACCAAUAUCGUGUUAUCGAGUAGCGGCGGACUCUCAAACCCAGGGGAUCGGCGGCGGAGAAGCUCAUCUUCGUCGCUGGAGAAAGCUGGAGCGAUGCGGCGGCAGAGUUCCUCCACUCCGACAGCGACGACGAUUGCGAAUCACCACGGAAGGCGGAGCUCGGGGAUGAACGCUGAGGAUGAAUUGACGGAAGAAUCAACAGCGGCGUCGGAGCGACUGAUGCGACUGGAGUGGCGUCGGGAAGCUGCUCCGGCAGCAUGAGGCGGAGGAAGGGAAACACCGCUGGAGACGAAAACGGAAGCGGAGGCGGAGGCGGCGCCGGUAAGGUGGCUGUCGACGGAAACUCUGAAAUGGGAAGAGAGAUUUUCUUUCCUAAUUUGUGAAAUUGGGGAAGGAGAUUGAAUAGGUUGUUAGAGAGAGAAACUGUCGGUGUGUGGGUGGAGUAUAUGGAUUAAUAAAUCCUAGAAUUGAGGGCUUCUUUUGUUUCCUAA